rnacentral:rRNA from 1 species
AGUGAACGCUGGCGGUAGGCCUAACACAUGCAAGUCGAACGCCAGCACAGUAAGAGCUUGCUCUUACGGGUGGCGGGUCGCGGACGGGUGAGGAAUACAUCGGGAUCUACACUUUCGGGGGGGAUAACGUAGGGAAACUUACGCUAAUAUCGCAUACGACCUCCGGGGGUAAGCAGGGGAUCUGCGGACCUUGUGUGAUUGAAGGAGACGAUGUCGCAUUAGCUAGUUGGCGGGGUAAAGGCCCACCAAGGCGACGAUCCGUAGCUGGUCUGAGAGGAUGGUGAGCGACACUGGAAGUGAGACACGGUCCAGACUCCUACGGGAGGCCGCAGUGGGGAAUGUUGGACGAUGGGGGCAAGCCUGAUCCAGCGAUACCGGGUUGGUGAAGAAGGCCUGCGGGUUGGAAAGCCGUUUUGUUGGGGAAGAAAAGCAGCAGCUGAAUACCCGGCUGUACUGACGGUACCCAAAGAAGAAGCACCGGCUAACUACGUG